GGUGUACACUUAAAGCAUUCUGGGAAUAUGAAUCCCUUCUGCACCCGGGAUUCACCAGUCCAGCCAUGCAUGGAGCUGGGGAAAGCAGGCCCUGAACUGUCUAGAGAGACUUGGUGGAGGAGGCCACGGCCCGUCUUGUCCCUGCCGGGUCCUGGCCAGGAAUUGGAUGCCGGCUGGCCCCCCGAUGGUUCCUGGCCUAGGGGCUGUCAUGGCAGAGGGAAGCCACCAAGGUGCCAUUGAGGAUUGGUGUCUGGCUCUCUAUGGGCAAGAGCGCCAGGGGACACACAGUGGGACCGGAACCUUCCAGAAUGUCUCCUCAGUCAGGGCCCUGUGCUAAUCACGAGUCUUUCCUGUUCAGAGCAGUGAGGCCUGAGACCCUCAACGGUGCUGUGUGUACAGAAGGCCCCCAGAAUCCACAGAAAGGGCCCGCCUGAAACCUAGAGCAUUUGUGAAGGAGGAGAAUGGAAGGAACAACUGGAUGUUGUAAAUGUUUCUCAUCUGGCCUUAAAAUCCAUGAAAGCUGGAAAAUGCCAAGGCAUCUGUGCACAUACUGGUGGAUUUUAAUGAGAGUCCUGUGUUUGGAGCACCAGAAAUAAACCAGCUUCAGAAGCAAAGAUUUGAACGUCUAUGACACUCUUCCGAGCUGACACAGUGAAGAACAUGGAAGGAGAACUCACCCAGUCUGCCAGGGUCACAGAUGAUCAUACUCAAGAUCUUCCUGGGGAGUCAACGGCAA
rnacentral:sRNA from 1 species